rnacentral:rRNA from 1 species
UACGUAGGCAGCGAGCGUUGUUCGGAGUUACUGGGCGUAAAGCGCAUGUAGGCGGUCGGCUAUGUCGGAUGUGAAAGCCUCGGGCUUAACCCGAGAAGUGCAUCCGAAACUGGCCGGCUUGAGUACGGAAGAGGGUCUCGGAAUUCCCGGUGUAGAGGUGAAAUUCGUAGAUAUCGGGAGGAACACCAGUGGCGAAGGCGGAGACCUGGGCCGAUACUGACGCUGAGAUGCGAAAGCGUGGGGAGCAAACAGG